rnacentral:rRNA from 1 species
GACGAACGCUGGCGGCGUGCUUAACACAUGCAAGUCGAACGGAAAGGCCCUGCUUUGGUUGGGUGCGCGAGUGGCGAACGGGUGAGUAACACGUGAGUAACCUGCCCUUGACUUUGUGAUAACUUCAGGAAACUGUGGCUAAUACCUGAUACGAGCUCCUGCUGCAUGGUGGGGGUUGGAAAGCUUCGGCGGUAGGGGAUGGACUCGGGGCUUAUCAGCUUGUUGGUGGGGUAGUGGCUUACCAAGGCUUUGACGGGUAGCCGGCCUGAGAGCGUGACCGGCCACAUUGGGCCUGAGGUACGGCGCAGACGCGUACGGGAGGCAGUAGUGGGGAAUAUUGCACAAUGGGGGGAAGCGCGAUGAAGCAACGCCGCGUGCGGGAUCACGGUUUUCGGGUUGUAAACCGCUUUGGCCUGUGACGAAGCGUGAGUGACGGUACUGGGUAAAGAAGCACCGGCUAACUACGUG